rnacentral:rRNA from 1 species
AUGGAGAAGGCCGAGCGCGUGGCUGCCUACACCUUCACCAGGGACUCGGGCCAUUCAUACAAGGAGUUGUAUGGGCGGGUCUUCGCCGUCGCAGAUAAAGUCCGCCGUCUAUAUGCCGCUGACGCGGUGUCAGGUAUCAAGCCAGAUGAAUUUGCGGAUAUGAUGUUUCACGAUGCUUGCUUCAUGCUGCAGUAUAUGAAAUCGUAUUCAUGCAAAGAAGAAGAAGAAGAAGAAGAAGAAGAAGAAGAAGAAGAAGAAGAAGAAGAAGAGAAAAAAAAGAGAAAAAGAAGAUGCGACACCACUACGACGUUUCUUCCUCUCCAACCAAGGUUGCAUCAAUAA